UGUGUGGCAGCGUUGGGUGGAGAGUGGAGAGCAAUGAGUUCCUUGCCCUCUUGGCGGCCUUCCUCAGUUCUCUGGAAUGUGGUGUGUAGGAAGUGCUACCAGCCAGGGAGUCACCGCUGUCGCAGCUCCAGGUUUGUGGCCGGGAGAUGGAGAACUGAAAGGUCCUGCCUGCCCAGGGAAGCUGCAUCUCAAGUUUCUGGGCAUGGCCUCUAAUGGGGGGAAAUGUGAUAAACCCUUAGGUUCUCUAAAACCAUGGUUUGCAAAGUGUGGACCCUAGACCCACUGCAUUAGCCCCACCUGGGACCUUGUCAGAAAUGCAGAUUCCCAGGCUCUGCCCCCAGUAUACUGAAUCUGAACUCUGGAGGUGGGGCCCGGCCAUAUGCCCCGCGAGUGAUUCUGACCCACAGUUGAGAAACACUGCUCUAAAGAAUGACCAGUGCACUUGCAGAUCUUGGAAUCAAUGAUAUUAGUGCUUCGGAUGCUUAUUUCAAUGAGGAAAAAUAUCUUACUGGAAAUUUACAGUAUAAAUAGAAGUUUAUUUAAGGUGGUAAACAAAUGCAUCAUAGGAAUUCAUUAUAGGAUGUUUAACAGUAACUCUAGCCUCUGCCCACAACAUGCCAGUAGUGACAAUUAAAAAUGUCCUUGGGGGGUUGGGGGGGGGGAUGACCACAACUGAGAACCACUGAAUUAAAACAAAGCUAUAUAGUAGUUUAUUUAGCAGAUCUUCUCUGUGCUAGGUUUUCAGAAACAACAAAUAAGGAUCUCAGCCCAAAGAACCUUACAGUUUUAGGCAAACCCAAAUAUGUUACAGUAUUGUACGUGUUGUUAAAAAAUAUAAUGAAAUUCUAUGGAGGUGAUUAUUCCUAGGGUAGCUGAUGAAGACUUCACACGAGCAGUGACAUCGGACUCUCCAAAAUGAGAAGACAGAGAAGGACCUUUGAAAUUCAUGUGUAAAGUCUGGAGAUAAGUGCAUCUCAGGUCCAGGGAGAGAGAGUCUGACGGAGUACCCUCUGCCUGGAAGUCCAAGCAAGGCUACAAUGCAGGGGAUGGAUAGUUUUCCACAGGAAAAGCUUAUGGCACUUCAGCCACCUCGCUGGAGGAGCGGGCCUUUGCAGCAGAGAGAACAUCCUGGCAGCAGCUAUAACAUCUGCCCGAAGAAGCUGACCCAUCCCAAUCCUUCCC